GCCCCAAUAGCUCAGUCGGCAGAGCGUCCCAUGGUAAGGAGAAGGUCAACGGUUCGAUUCCGUUUUGGGGCU
rnacentral:tRNA from 1 species